rnacentral:rRNA from 1 species
GACGAACGCUGGCGGCGUGCUUAACACAUGCAAGUCGAACGGAAAGGCCCCUUUGGGGGUACUCGAGUGGCGAACGGGUGAGUAACACGUGAGUAACCUGCCCUUGACUUCGGGAUAACUUCAGGAAACUGGGGCUAAUACCGGAUAGGAAUCCUUGCUGCAUGGUGGGGGUUGGAAAGCUUCGGCGGUUUUGGAUGGACUCGCGGCUUAUCAGCUUGUUGGUGGGGUAGUGGCUUACCAAGGCUUUGACGGGUAGCCGGCCUGAGAGGGCGACCGGCCACAUUGGGACUGAGAGACGGCCCAGACUCCUACGGGAGGCAGCAGUGGGGAAUAUUGCACAAUGGGCGGAAGCCGGAUGCAGCAACGCCGCGUGCGGGAUGACGGCCUUCGGGUUGUAAACCGCUUUCAGCAGGGGCGAAGCUUGUGGUGACGGUACCUGCAGAAGAAGCACCGGCUAACUACGUG